UCAAACAAAGGGGCAGAGAGAAAGUCCCCCGUGGUGGUACAGGGCUGUCUGACCGCCCUCCGUACACUCUGCUCCUCCCCCUUCCUGGACGAUGAAGAUGUGGGAAACAAAUGGAGGGAGCUUCUCAAGAGUGCUCUGAUCACUGUGCUGCAAAAUGCCAAGCCAAGUAAGAAUAUGUGCCUUAGUUUAGACAUUCUUGUUUAUGUCUCUUUAUGACAAUAGAUUGUACAUGUACAUGUAUAAGACUAGGUUAACAGCACCUUUGGUCUUAUACAAGUUUUAAAACUGAUAAAGAUUAUACAUGUGUUGUAAAUUUUCUCAUUAAACUGUAGUUCUUGUGAACCAGUUAUAUACAGCUACAAAUAAUGCACUUUUAUAGAUUUAUGAAGGUAUUGUACAGUAAUCUAGCCAAAGCAAAUACAUGUACUUGUUUUUUACUGACAUGAUUUAAUAUCCUAGCUAUUAUUUCUUUAGGUGAUGACAAACCAGCGAUGGAUGAGGUGACUUUACUUGCCACAAUAACUAUGUUCCUGGUCUGGGGGCCCGAUGAAAUAGCCCAGACCCCCGCCAUUCAGACCCAGUGUGUGGGCGUGUUCAAAGAUUGUUGGGGGUCCAAGAACCCAGAGGUCAGUGUCCAAAUGGACAGUGACAUUAACACACAAGCUGGCCUCGGGGCAAUCAAAUUUAGAUGAGCUUACUUUUGAUCUCAUUUUCAGAGACUAUAUAUCCAGAUGUUAAAAGUAUGAUUGAUAUCAAAAGUGAGCAUGUCUUACUUUUAUGGCUUCACAGCCUGCUGUGUUGGCCCAAUUUUAUCCAGCAUUAUGUUAAAAACUAAAAUUAAGUGGUUUAAUGUUUUUACAUAGUUUUGCCUGUAAAUUUAUUGAGAAGUUAUGGUUAAUUUAUUGAUAGAAUAUUGCAUAUGUACAUGCAUUGUAAAUGUUUCUGUUUUAUUUGUCUAUCUUUGUAGGUCCAAAUGAAGUGUUUACAGAUGUUCACAUCAGUGAUACAAAAACUGGACAAGAAGAAGGCGACUUCAUACAUACGAGGAGUGGCUGCCAAGUUUCUAGAAUAUUUACUCAUAUUAAAGGACGACAAGUCUGGACUGGAUUCCCAGCAUGCUCUUGUGACGGCCUCGCUGAACUUUGCCGAAGUCCUGGUCGACAAAGCAGAAGAAGAUAAAAGGUUAACUCUACUCUCAUUAUUACUACCAGUUUUAGUUUCAUUUCUGGUAGACGAAAAUAAAUACGCAAGUGUGUCGAAAACUACACAAGCAAUACAUGAUGAUUGUUUAAAUAGACUGGUGAAAAUUGGACCUAUGUAUCCAGAACAAUUUAAGACCAUAAUGACUUCAAAUGCUGAUCUCAAAGUAAAGUUGGGACUGGCAAUUAAACACAGUCAAACAGUAGCAUCUUCCCAGAAGAAGACAGAGAUGGCUGCAAACCGACAAAAACUUAACCAACCUGCCAAACCUACCAUAGCCUUGAAAACAAAUUUUGGAAACUUUGCUGCGAGCUGACAUUGUUUUGUAUCGUUGUUGAUCAAGCUGUGAUAGUGCAAUUUUUUAUAGGAAUCCAAAAAUUUCCAGUUUUUGGGAUCCGUUUGUUAUCUUGUGUGCUUAAGGGAGAGAGAGAAUGCAUGAUAGAUUUUCUGAUUGUAUGUAAAUAUCGUUGAAUAUUUGAGGUUUGUAAAACCUGUUUUUAAAUGUUUUAUUUACCUAAUUAUGGCACAGUAUUAGGGUUGAAGAUAAACCCUAGUCAAAUUGUAUCCCACUAGAACAAUGAACAAGAGUCUUAUUUACUUCACAGACUUUGAGAACAAUUUUUAUUAUUUUUUUUUGGUUCAAAGCUAUCUGAGCUAGUUUGAUGUGUUAUAUGAUAGGGAAAAAUCUUUAAUGUCUGAUGUCCAUGAGACAUGUUGUGUAAAAAUACAGAUGAAACUAU
rnacentral:misc_RNA from 1 species